GAGCGCCAAGGGAGGAAUCCGCUUAAACUCUGUUCUUGAAGUGUAGUUUUGCCGCCCGUCUCCCAACAGCCGGGGCUGAGAUCGCCGUUCAUUAACUUUGGAUAAGGAAUUGCCCCAAAUUAAACAAACAAACAAACAAACAAACGCCACCGGCUUCUUCGCUCGUACCGCGGGCGGAACGGGCUGGAGGGCGCGGGGCGAGAUGUAGUGAAUAAAAGUUAUUUUCGCCUUAGUGCUCCGGGGCAGCCUGAACGGAAAGCGCAUCCUUUUGCGGAGAAAAAGCUCUCGGUGCACAUAUCGAUCCCGACACCCGGCAUCUGCCGGGGCCAGCUCCGGCAAAUCUUCUGGUCCGGGGCAACGCACACGUGUUAACAACAAAAAUACGGUCAAUGGUGCGGGACGAUUUAGAGACUUUGUCUAAAUACCAGAGCAGGGUCGCGCUGGAAAAUGCCGGUUUGAAGUCUGACUGGACAACAGGCAUCCAAACCAAGCCGUUUACGGGGAAAUCACAGCUAGAAAGGACAUUUAAAGGACAAGAAACAGAGAGCUCUGGGAGAUGUUUGCCUUGCAGAAACGCACCGGGGAUCUGGCAAGUGAUGAUGAAACACAAAAUUGAAAUCAGUUUCAAGAGCGAUCAGUGAAAUUGGGAAUGAGUUCUUCAUCCUCAGAGGCAAGAUGGAAUAAUUAUCUUUUCUCUUGAAGUACUCCAGUGUCUCUACCCUCAAGAACAAUAAGGAAUUGACUAAGACCAGCUCAAAUUAAAUUAAAGAUCUAGUAUCCCUCCCUCCCUUAGAGCCAAGCAUUUUUCUCUCUAUUCCUUCCUAUUAAGAUGUGAAAAUAACUUCUCUUUUUUUUUUCACUCAACCCCUGAUUUGUCCUGCAAAUGGCUAACAGAGAAUAUCUGAUGGUGUGCAAUAGAUGUUUCACUGCUGCGAAUUUGGGAGGGGUGUUCUGUGUAUGUGUACACAGGUUAAAGUAAUUUUUAUCCCUUACCUAAGGAGAAUGAUGUAUAUUCCUCCCUCUCUAUAUUUAGUCAUGUACUGGACUGAAGUUCUGGCAAUCUAAUUUUGCCAGCUCUCCUUAUGAUAAGAUCAGAGAUUUUCAAGCCUUUCCUUAAUUUUUCAGACUCUACCAUGUUUCCUGGGGAUCCCACCAUGUUCAAGGUACCAACAGGAGGCUUGGUUUGGUUUUGAGUUUACAGUCUCUGUUAAACUCUGCAGGCUGAAAACUGAGGGUUUAUGUUCUGGGUUAUUUGUAUUAAUAUUUUCUCAGUGCAAUUCUCUGCUGCUGAGUGUCAUGGAGCCACAAAGCAAGGAAUAAAUCAUAGCUCAUCACAAGCUGUAGAUGGUGC
rnacentral:lncRNA from 1 species